UUGCAAUGAUGACCAUCUUAGGACACCUUUGGAAUAAUCAUGAAAACAAUGGUCUUGUUCUGAGCUUC